AGCGUACACGGUGGAUGCCCUGGCAGUCAGAGGCGAUGAAGGACGUGCUAAUCUGCGAUAAGCGUCGGUAAGGUGAUAUGAACCGUUAUAACCGGCGAUUUCCGAAUGGGGAAACCCAGUGUGUUUCGACACACUAUCAUUAACUGAAUCCAUAGGUUAAUGAGGCGAACCGGGGGAACUGAAACAUCUAAGUACCCCGAGGAAAAGAAAUCAACCGAGAUUCCCCCAGUAGCGGCGAGCGAACGGGGAGGAGCCCAGAGCCUGAAUCAGUGUGUGUGUUAGUGGAAGCGUCUGGAAAGGCGCGCGAUACAGGGUGACAGCCCCGUACACAAAAAUGCACAUGCUGUGAGCUCGAUGAGUAGGGCGGGACACGUGGUAUCCUGUCUGAAUAUGGGGGGACCAUCCUCCAAGGCUAAAUACUCCUGACUGACCGAUAGUGAACCAGUACCGUGAGGGAAAGGCGAAAAGAACCCCGGCGAGGGGAGUGAAAAAGAACCUGAAACCGUGUACGUACAAGCAGUGGGAGCCUCUUUAUGGGGUGACUGCGUACCUUUUGUAUAAUGGGUCAGCGACUUAUAUUCUGUAGCAAGGUUAACCGAAUAGGGGAGCCGAAGGGAAACCGAGUCUUAACUGGGCGUUAAGUUGCAGGGUAUAGACCCGAAACCCGGUGAUCUAGCCAUGGGCAGGUUGAAGGUUGGGUAACACUAACUGGAGGACCGAACCGACUAAUGUUGAAAAAUUAGCGGAUGACUUGUGGCUGGGGGUGAAAGGCCAAUCAAACCGGGAGAUAGCUGGUUCUCCCCGAAAGCUAUUUAGGUAGCGCCUCGUGAAUUCAUCUCCGGGGGUAGAGCACUGUUUCGGCAAGGGGGUCAUCCCGACUUACCAACCCGAUGCAAACUGCGAAUACCGGAGAAUGUUAUCACGGGAGACACACGGCGGGUGCUAACGUCCGUCGUGAAGAGGGAAACAACCCAGACCGCCAGCUAAGGUCCCAAAGUCAUGGUUAAGUGGGAAACGAUGUGGGAAGGCCCAGACAGCCAGGAUGUUGGCUUAGAAGCAGCCAUCAUUUAAAGAAAGCGUAAUAGCUCACUGGUCGAGUCGGCCUGCGCGGAAGAUGUAACGGGGCUAAACCAUGCACCGAAGCUGCGGCAGCGACGCUUAUGCGUUGUUGGGUAGGGGAGCGUUCUGUAAGCCUGUGAAGGUGUACUGUGAGGUAUGCUGGAGGUAUCAGAAGUGCGAAUGCUGACAUAAGUAACGAUAAAGCGGGUGAAAAGCCCGCUCGCCGGAAGACCAAGGGUUCCUGUCCAACGUUAAUCGGGGCAGGGUGAGUCGACCCCUAAGGCGAGGCCGAAAGGCGUAGUCGAUGGGAAACAGGUUAAUAUUCCUGUACUUGGUGUUACUGCGAAGGGGGGACGGAGAAGGCUAUGUUGGCCGGGCGACGGUUGUCCCGGUUUAAGCGUGUAGGCUGGUUUUCCAGGCAAAUCCGGAAAACUAAGGCUGAGGCGUGAUGACGAGGCACUACGGUGCUGAAGCAACAAAUGCCCUGCUUCCAGGAAAAGCCUCUAAGCAUCAGGUAACAUCAAAUCGUACCCCAAACCGACACAGGUGGUCAGGUAGAGAAUACCAAGGCGCUUGAGAGAACUCGGGUGAAGGAACUAGGCAAAAUGGUGCCGUAACUUCGGGAGAAGGCACGCUGAUAUGUAGGUGAAGUCCCUCGCGGAUGGAGCUGAAAUCAGUCGAAGAUACCAGCUGGCUGCAACUGUUUAUUAAAAACACAGCACUGUGCAAACACGAAAGUGGACGUAUACGGUGUGACGCCUGCCCGGUGCCGGAAGGUUAAUUGAUGGGGUUAGCGGUAACGCGAAGCUCUUGAUCGAAGCCCCGGUAAACGGCGGCCGUAACUAUAACGGUCCUAAGGUAGCGAAAUUCCUUGUCGGGUAAGUUCCGACCUGCACGAAUGGCGUAAUGAUGGCCAGGCUGUCUCCACCCGAGACUCAGUGAAAUUGAACUCGCUGUGAAGAUGCAGUGUACCCGCGGCAAGACGGAAAGACCCCGUGAACCUUUACUAUAGCUUGACACUGAACAUUGAGCCUUGAUGUGUAGGAUAGGUGGGAGGCUUUGAAGUGUGGACGCCAGUCUGCAUGGAGCCGACCUUGAAAUACCACCCUUUAAUGUUUGAUGUUCUAACGUUGGCCCCUGAUCGGGGUUGCGGACAGUGUCUGGUGGGUAGUUUGACUGGGGCGGUCUCCUCCUAAAGAGUAACGGAGGAGCACGAAGGUUGGCUAAUCCUGGUCGGACAUCAGGAGGUUAGUGCAAUGGCAUAAGCCAGCUUGACUGCGAGCGUGACGGCGCGAGCAGGUGCGAAAGCAGGUCAUAGUGAUCCGGUGGUUCUGAAUGGAAGGGCCAUCGCUCAACGGAUAAAAGGUACUCCGGGGAUAACAGGCUGAUACCGCCCAAGAGUUCAUAUCGACGGCGGUGUUUGGCACCUCGAUGUCGGCUCAUCACAUCCUGGGGCUGAAGUAGGUCCCAAGGGUAUGGCUGUUCGCCAUUUAAAGUGGUACGCGAGCUGGGUUUAGAACGUCGUGAGACAGUUCGGUCCCUAUCUGCCGUGGGCGCUGGAGAACUGAGGGGGGCUGCUCCUAGUACGAGAGGACCGGAGUGGACGCAUCACUGGUGUUCGGGUUGUCAUGCCAAUGGCACUGCCCGGUAGCUAAAUGCGGAAGAGAUAAGUGCUGAAAGCAUCUAAGCACGAAACUUGCCCCGAGAUGAGUUCUCCCUGACUCCUUGA
rnacentral:rRNA from 1 species